rnacentral:tRNA from 2 species
GGCACUGUAGCUUAGCUGGUUAAAGCACCUGUCUAAUAAACAGGAGAUCCUGGGUUCAAAUCCUAGUAGUGCUU